UACGGAGGGUGCGAGCGUUGUCCGGAAUCAUUGGGCGUAAAGGGCGCGUAGGUGGUUCUGUAUGUCUACCGUGAAAGCGUACGGCUCAACCGUAUUUUGUCGGUGGAAACUGCAGGACUUGAGGCUGGGAGGGGCUGGUGGAAUUCCCUGUGUAGCGGUGAAAUGCGUAGAGAUGGGGGAGAACACGCGUGGCGAAGGCGGCCAGCUAGACCAGUUCUGACACUGAGGCGCGACAGCGUGGGGAGCAAACAGG
rnacentral:rRNA from 1 species